GUUGAAACACCAGUUCCCAUACAAUUACCAAAAUUAAGCAAUGUCAAGCCUGGUCAGUACCUCGAUGGGUGACCGAUUGGGAAUACCAGGUGCUGUAAG
rnacentral:rRNA from 1 species